GUGGGUACAAAAAGUUUUUGGAGCCACAGAGGGGGUCCUCCAUCCCCAGGAAUUCGAGGUGGAGACAGACAAAGAGGAAGGACUCUGCAGACCAGACCAAGGGAAACAGUUCGCAAACAUGCCCAGAAGACAUGGAAUUGACUGACGCAGAGGAAUUUGAAGAAAAUGGCAGUUACUUUGAUAAUGCUACACCAGAAAGACAGCAUUCACAACAUUGGCAAGAGGACAUGGAAUUAAGUGGCGCCCAGUCAAAUGUAGGUUGACUGUACACAUAUUUGUCCAUGUUCUUUUGAUAUCAUUCACAUCAAUUAAAUUGAAUUAGGCCUAAUUGUUAUCCACUGAUUUUACUGACAGGAAUUUGAGGAUGAUGACAGUCACAAUGAUGCUAGAACAGAAGUAAGUCCUGUGCAUAGAUAGGCCUACACAACACUAGUCAG